UACAGAGGGGGCAAGCGUUGUUCGGAAUUACUGGGCGUAAAGGGCGCGUAGGCGGCCUUCUAAGUCGAACGUGAAAUCCCCAGGCUUAACCUGGGAACUGCGUCGGAUACUGGCGGGCUUGAAUCCGGGAGAGGGAUGCGGAAUUCCAGGUGUAGCGGUGAAAUGCGUAGAGAUGUGAAGGAACACCAAUGGCGAAGGCAGCCUUCUGGGCCAACACUGACGCUGAUGCGCGAAAGCCAGGGGAGCGAACGGG
rnacentral:rRNA from 1 species